rnacentral:rRNA from 1 species
UACGGAGGGUGCAAGCGUUAUCCGGAUUUACUGGGUUUAAAGGGUGCGUAGGCGGGCUUUUAAGUCAGUGGUGAAAUCUCCGGGCUCAACCCGGAAAUUGCCAUUGAUACUAUUAGUCUUGAAUUAAGUUGAGGUGGGCGGAAUGUGUCAUGUAGCGGUGAAAUGCUUAGAUAUGACACAGAACACCGAUUGCGAAGGCAGCUCGCUAAACUUAUAUUGAAGCUGAGGCACGAAAGCGUGGGGAUCAAACAGG